rnacentral:rRNA from 1 species
GCGUGAGUGAAGAAGGCCUUCGGGUUGUAAAGCUCUUUCGGCGGGGAAGAUAAUGACGGUACCCGCAGAAGAAGCCCCGGCUAACUCCGUGCCAGCAGCCGCGGUAAUACGGAGGGGGCUAGCGUUGUUCGGAAUUACUGGGCGUAAAGCGCACGUAGGCGGGACGGCAAGUUGGGGGUGAAAUCCCGGGGCUUAACCCCGGAAUUGCCUUCAAAACUGCCGACCUUGAGUCCGGGAGAGGUAAGUGGAAUUCCUAGUGUAGAGGUGAAAUUCGU